rnacentral:rRNA from 1 species
CCUACGGGAGGCUGCAGUGAGGAAUAUUGGUCAAUGGUCGGGAGACUGAACCAGCCAAGCCGCGUGAGGGAGGAAGGUACAGAGUAUCGUAAACCUCUUUUGUCAGGGAACAAAGACUGGGACGCGUCCCCGGAUGAGUGUACCUGAAGAAAAAGCAUCGGCUAACUCCGUGCCAGCAGCCGCGGUAAUACGGAGGAUGAGAGCGUUAUCCGGCUUUAUUGGGUUUAAUGGGUGCGAAGGCGGUCUGUUAAGUCAGGGGUAAAAGCCCGGGGCCAAACCCCGGCCAGCCGUUGAAACUGGCAGUCUCGAGUUGGAGAGAAGUAUGCGGAAUGCGCGGUGUAGCGGUGAAAUGCAUAGAUAUCGCGCAGAACUCCGAUUGCGAAGGCAGCAUGCCGGCUCCACACUGACGCUGAGGCACGAAAGCGUGGGUAUCGAACAGGAUUAGAUACCCUAGUAGUC